CCUCUUAAAGAAUCUAAUUCUCUCAAAAUUGGGACAGUGAUGAGCAGCAAUUUCCGUGCACGAAUACAUUCUUCGUAUCCAUACUAAAGCCUCCAAGAUGCUACCAUGUGCACUACAGGUGCAAGCAGGACACAUGCACUGGUUUUGGGUGCACAGGGCGCUCCUGUCUGCCAUCAGCGGUAGACGCGUUAAAUUUUUUCUUGGCAUCCCAAAAUUUUCUUGCCUUGAUCGUCUCCUGGUUUGGUUUGGUUUGGUUGCACUCCUCUGCAUUUUCUCUUUACGUCUCCUUAAUUUCUUUUGUAGUAUAUGUGAUGACCUCCGUGACACAUACCUCAUCAAACACCAUGUUCUCAUAUGAAGCCCGUGUGUCAUGGCCUGCAUUAUAUUUCAGUUUGUGUAUCCCAUCCAUCUCUCAAAAAAACUGCAAUUCGAGUGAACCCCUAGACCUAUAUAUAAGGAUCUACUGCCUCCACAGAACCAUACGCAAUAUUAGAAUCCAUUGCUUUUAUUUAA